GUGUGAGCAGCGAGCAAAUGAGCAAGAGCGUGUGACAACAGAGGAUGACAGGCUGUGAGGUUCGAAGCAGGAAGGACACACUCCAUAAGUCUCGGCACUGCUCAUCAGCCCAUGUGUCAGCACGCUCUUACUGAUGGGAGCAGCGGGGAGAAACGCCAUACUGGGAAGUCACUGCUGGUGUGGGACAAGUUACAAGAUGCUUCUGGGGGAGGAAAAUGUGUAUCAUCAACUCCUCAGGAGGGCAGUGAAGCCUGCUCAGUCUAGACUUACAUAAGAGACUACUCAAUGACUCUCACAGAAAAGAGAUCUUCCCAAGGUGACAUUUUCUCCUCCUAAGCCAAUAAGGUCAUCUUACUCACAGUCCACUUCCAGGAACUGACCCCAGAUGGACAGAAUCUACUUAUAUCAUGGCACAGCUGUCAACUUCUCUUGCUAAAGAAGAGAAUAACACUCACAAAAUUGCCCCAGAUGGUGGUGCAACAUUUUUGGGCCAAGUACUACAACUGAAAAGCAUGAACAGAGUUUUACCAGCGGGUUACAGGUUUGUUCAUAUGAAAAUUGCACUCCCUGUUUAUUUCUAAUAGGGAAAAUAUUUCUGAUGGUAUAUGAUUCCUAAAUGAAAUGAUGCUAACAAAUGUUCACAUAUUUUGUGAGGGAGAACACAGCAAAUUGUAAGAUACGAUCCGCAGAUAUCAAACUCAUUUUCUUUACUGGAAAACAGGUCUGACCGCAUGGCACGAUUAUGUUGGGAAAAAUGUAGCUAUAGUUCUCUUCAUUUGGAACACGAACGUAUAUCACAAAGCUAACCAGAUCACAUUCACUCAGUAGCAAACACAAAUCAACUGUGGCUAGCAAAUGUGUGUACAAAAUACAUUGACAUCAACACCAGUUUGGUGCUUUCUUGUGAUCAAAUCCAGGGAAAUAGAAAUCAGCCAUCUAAAACCUAACCACUUGCAAAAGAGCAUUUAUGUUACCAGCAGUUUAAAGGAAAUGUAUUCAAGUAUAUAUAUGCUGGCUCAUCAUUUUAAAACUAUUAUCAAUAUUAUCAUUUAUUAAAUGUGAUUAGGUAGCUCUGGAUCCUUGGUCUGUUAUUUUUUUUAAGGCAUAAUAAGACCAGGACUUUAAAAAAAAACACCCUGUAAAAUGUACGCUUUUUAAGAAAUAAUAGAAGUCACUUUUAUUCUAACAUGCUAUCUUUAUUGAAAUAAACAUUUAUUGCAAAAACAAUAAAUGCUUUUUAUUUUUCAAACAUAAACAAUACUUAAGUAUAAAAGUAAAAACUGAACAUUGCAUAUAACCCUGGUCCAUCCCAUUUCCUGCAGAAAACCACUAUUAACAGUUUUAUGCUUAUACUUCUAGAUGUAGUUUUAGUAUUCAUCAAAACAUUUUUUUCUGAGUUUCUCAUUAGAUUAGAUAAGCUGUGUUUUGUUUUGUUUGUCUUAGCUCUUGUUUAACCUGCAGAAAACUAGUGACAUGCUCUUGGAGAAGCCCCUCUUACAGAAGGCCAAAGAAGCUGAGAAAGCACAGAGGAAAUAAUCAAGGCUCACCUGGGAAAGCAACACAGCUUCACCAUCAUUCUCUCGUCCCUGAGAAAAUAAAUCAAAACAAACAAGUAUAUUGAGCACUGGGUGUUCAAAACCACAUGAAGAAUUUUUUCUUGUUAAAUUAAAGCCUUAAGUAGUCUUAAAUGAUGUAGCAAUAUAUGCCCAUUCAAUGUGGUUACUUACCUCCUCAGAUAUGAAAUGAUUUUAUAUGGCAGUAUCUUUAUAUUCUACGUUCUUACAAGUUUCACAUAUUCCAUUACUUAAGCGUUCAUAUUUCUCACAAAGACUUACAUUCCUCAGGAGUACAAUGUUUUAGAACAAAGAAUGCAUUCAAUAAAUCUUUACAGAGUCAAUCUUUACAGAGGACAAUUCUCCUGUAGACAGGAGUGAAUACAUAUAAAGGACAAAUAACGAGGCAAGCCCUUUGUACCUUUCAGCCAUCUGCAAAAUGAAGAACUGAAUUCAAAUUUUGAUAGGCAUGGCUUUCAGAGAAGUCUGACAGAAGCUAUGCAUGAAUUUCUUUUUUUCUCUUUUACAGUUCCCUUCUUACUUAAAAAAAAAAAAUCCUGAAGUGGCUUAGUGAUAUAAACUAUGGAGAGAGGUGUGGGUGGUUCUUUUAAGUGCACAAUAACCAACAGGUCUCCCUCCUGGAAAAAUU
rnacentral:lncRNA from 1 species